GAUAAAGAAGGUGGAAAAAGCACAAAUAAUCUCAAACAAAAAACAAAUGCAAGUUCAUUUCAUUGGUUCUAGACCGUAAUGCAGGACCUUGGGUCCACAAAGAUCAC